rnacentral:rRNA from 1 species
CUCAAAUUUGAAAUCUGGCACCUUCGGUGUCCGAGUUGUAAUUUGAAGAAGGUAACUUUGGAGUUGGCUCUUGUCUAUGUUCCUUGGAACAGGACGUCACAGAGGGUGAGAAUCCCGUGCGAUGAGAUGUCCAACUCUAUGUAAAGUGCUUUCGAAGAGUCGAGUUGUUUGGGAAUGCAGCUCUAAGUGGGUGGUAAAUUCCAUCUAAAGCUAAAUAUUGGCGAGAGACCGAUAGCGAACAAGUACAGUGAUGGAAAGAUGAAAAGAACUUUGAAAAGAGAGUGAAAAAGUACGUGAAAUUGUUGAAAGGGAAGGGUUUGAGAUCAGACUUGGUAUUUUGUAUGUCUUGCUUUCGGGUGGGGCCUCUGCAGUUUACUGGGCCAGCAUCGGUUUGGACGGUAGGAUAAUGACAUUGGAAUGUGGCACUACUUCGGUGGUGUGUUAUAGACUUUGUUGAUACUGCCUGUCUAGACCGAGGACUGCGUCUUUGACUAGGAUGCUGGCAUAAUGAUCCUAAACCGCCC